rnacentral:lncRNA from 1 species
GGUUGGCGGCGUGGAUGUCGGCGUCGCAGGAGGCGCAGAGGGAGGCGGCGUCGGCCUUGCAGAGGAACGCCGCCGGGGCGCGCUCGCACGCCUCGCACACCCACACGCGCUCGUGCCACGUGAGAGAGACGUGGAGGCGAGUGUCGCACGUGGCGCAGAGAAAGGCGGUGUGGGAGCGGCAGAAGACGGUGGAGGGGACGGAGCGGCACGUGUCGCACAUGCGCGGCCACGUGGGCGUUGUUGCUUGGCCCUCCAACAUUGGGGGAGUUAGUGUUCUGAGAGUGAAGAGAAG